GAUUUAUUGUUUAAGUUUCAUGUUUAAUUAUUAUUUUUGCAUUAUUGCAUCAUUAUCAUUGUAUUCAUCAUUAUUUUAAAGAAAAUUUAACAUUCUGUUAUAGUAUGAAUAGCAAAGAAAUAUUUUAUUAUAGAUUUCUUUAAGAUUUUAUUUAUGACAAUUAUAUAAUUAUCAAGAAAAAUGGAAAACAAUUGAGAAAAAUGAAGAAAGAUGUACUGAUUCUUUUUAAAGCCUUCUUUCUUCCUUUCUUUUCUAUUAGGAGUUUUCCUUGCUGGGUGAUAGCUUCUUGAAUGAUCGUAACUGUGGAACUCUGCUGCAUAAUUAUUCUGUGUCAUGGUAGCCUUCUUUCUUGUGAGUUGAUAUUUUGCAGCAAUUAUUUGCAAUACAAAAACUGGUCUAUAUGUGUUCUUCUAUUCCUGAAGCUCACUCUCAUUAGCCUCCUAUUUUGUUCUCUCAAUUAUAUUCUUACCAGAUAGUUUCAUUGUCACACUCACUAAUCAUAUUCUUAUAAUACUUGCACUCACUCUUCACUUUGUAAGUGGAGACAAUCUUAGACUUAUUUCAAUAACUUGAAAUCAUAUCAUUCAUUAAACUUGUCUUAUAUGUCAUGUUCUUACCAGGUAUCUUGCAUUUCAGUGUAUAAUUAUACCCACAAACUUUUCUUCAUUGAUUUAUUUUCCUUCAUGAAUACAUUAAUCAAUUAUAUUCAUCUUGUUUUCCUCUUUCACUGUCAUGAUCCAAGUAAGUUUAAAAAGCUCAUGGAAAUACUCUCUCCACAAGCUAAACUCUCCAUGGAGUAAACUAGUACUCUUAUCCAUUCUAGAUUUAUCUUACAUCGUUUUGCCGUUUUUAUCUUUAACACCACAUGUAUUCCUACCUUGUUCUCUUCAAAAUCAUUUUGCAAGUUCUCACUUACUACAAUCCUCUUCUUACUCUUUCAACACCUUUUCCACACAUUUUUUGCACCUCUUAAGGUGAGUUAACAAUAGAUGAACACAAGUAAAUAUGCAUGAGCAAACAAGCAGAUUCAUAUAUAAACAAUGAUAAAAUGUAAAUGAAAGCAUUUGUUUGCAUUCAGUUGUAUACUGAGUUGAGAUAGUAAACACAUGAACCAUCAAAGGAAAUUUAUGCUCUGGGUUAAACAAUCAUUUGAAGAAAUGUUUUGGAACAAAUGAAGGAACUAUUAUUUGUCCUUCUUUCCAGCAAGCAGAUAAAUGUUGCAGCUAUUUUUAUUAGUAUUGAUGUUAAUUUAUUAUGAUGAUGC
rnacentral:lncRNA from 1 species